rnacentral:misc_RNA from 1 species
GUCAAUUAGCUCUUACAUACAAAGUCUACUGCUAUUCCCAUUUUACCCUUGGGCCGAAAUUGUGCGGUUGGGUCAAUAUGCGCGAAAUUCUUCACAUUCAAGGAGGGCAAUGUGGGAACCAAAUUGGAUCAAAAUUCUGGGAGGUUGUCUGUGAUGAACAUGGGAUUGAUCCGACUGGCCGGUAUACCGGAGAUUCAGAUUUACAGCUAGAGAGAGUGAAUGUAUAUUACAAUGAGGCUAACAAUGGCAGGUAUGUGCCCCGGGCUGUGCUUAUGGACCUUGAGCCUGGUACUAUGGACAGUGUAAGGACUGGCCCUUAUGGGCAAAUUUUUCGGCCAGAUAACUUUGUAUUUGGGCAGACUGGGGCUGGAAAUAAUUGGGCUAAGGGCCAUUAUACUGAAGGUGCUGAGCUGAUUGACUCGGUCCUUGAUGUUGUGAGGAAGGAGGUAGAGAACUGUGAUUGCCUGCAAGGAUUUCAAGUAUGUCAUUCGUUGGGAGGGGGAACUGGGUCUGGUAUGGGAACUCUACUAAUUUCAAAAAUUAGAGAAGAGUACCCAGAUAGAAUGAUGCUU